GCUAUGAUGACGUCUUGUGGCAUUGAUCUCUUGUGAGAUGAUUUUGCCCGUUUUGUCCUCUAAGAAGUUCUGAGCUU